CUAGCUUUAAAACCCCUCCAAUACAGAGAGAACUCUGAAACCAGAACCAGAAGCUGAGGCGCGGUGAAUGGAGCAUUUUCCCUGGCAUGAUGGAUGGGACCUACGGAUCUGGCUGUGAAGGCGGUAUCUUGUCACUGGAAUGCCUCUGCAGACUCGGACCCUUGCAACACACAGUUUGCAAACCCAUUGCAAACCCAUAGUUUGCAAAUCAGACUCAAGAAUGAUCUUCAGUAUUGGUGGUUUUGUGUGGGUUUUGUUUGUUAUUUUUAUUUGUUUUUGAGACUUCGUUAUUGGCACAACAGCUUCUGGAAAUCUGUUUCACAGAGAGUAUGGGGGCUUCUUUGGCCAAAUGGAGUGGGUACUUAUGAGUUCGGUCAGUGCCUGAGGGAGCACUCACUUCCUUGCCUGGUCAUAUUUUCAUUGGUGCAGGCUCCGUCUGCUUGGCAGCCACUGUUUGGGCCACAGCCUGUCCGCAGGGUCCUGCUCCUCUCUAAUUUGUUCAGACAUUGUGGUGUGUCUGGCCAUAUCAUUUGUCAUAGGUGUAAAAACAAUCACAACCAAAGCUUAAAGCUGUUGGGAUGAGCAGCUGCCUGGGAAUCACGCUCCUUCCUGCUCUUUCCAAAAAGCCAGGUGCCGCCGGCCAGCAUCCCGCUCCCUUUGACCCGCAGUCUGUGCGGGAAGUAGGCCCGGAGUGGUGCCAGCAGGAGGUGGCCUUAGAAAGGCGGAGACCCAAGGAGCAGAGUGAGUCGGCGUCCAGCUCCACCUGAAAGCGCCAUCUUGUCGCCACUUCCCUCAGGAGCAGGAAGAAGAAGAGAUUUUGGAGUAGCAAUGGAAUAAUGACUGGAGACUGCAAGAGGUAAACUGAAGGGAGCUAACAAGAAAC
rnacentral:lncRNA from 1 species